rnacentral:rRNA from 1 species
UACGUAGGGUGCGAGCGUUGUCCGGAAUUAUUGGGCGUAAAGGGCUCGUAGGCGGUUUGUCGCGUCGGGAGUGAAAUCCACUGGCUUAACUGGUGGCUUGCUUUCGAUACGGGCAGACUGGAGGUAUGCAGGGGAGAACGGAAUUCCUGGUGUAGCGGUGAAAUGCGGCAGAUAUCAGGAGGAACACCGGUGGCGAAGGCGGUUCUCUGGGCAUUAACUGACGCUGAGGAGCGAAAGCAUGGGGAGCGAACAGGAUUAGAUACCGUUG